UCUGUUUCAAUGUGUGACCCCCCACCCCCUCCCCGAGCAGUCGUGGGUGAGUGCACUAACGUGCCCGGAGGUUGCCGUUUUAAUGAGUGUUUGCUGGAAAACGAAAAAUACAAGAAGGAGUCUUCAAGAAGGAUUUGUACGUUUUGACAACGGGGGAAUUUGCUAAACUUUGACCACUUCCAGAUACUGCGGGCCAUCGGGAAAGGGAGCUUUGGAAAGUUUCAGGCAAGGGAACUGAAAAGUGUGCUGAGGAUAAAUGAUCAAUUAGGCAGAUGUGAAUGAACAACAGCUACAGGCUGGAGGCUCUGACAUCACACCUGAUGGAGAACCUGGAGAGCUGGUCCUUGCUGAUCUUCGGCCCCAGGGCAUUUCAGUCACUGAAGACAUCUUCACCACCUGCUCUUCCAGACGACGGACUCGUGCCUGAACACCUGCAGGUUAACCAACCAACCACUGAUCAGUAAAGCAAAAAAAGGAAACAAUGAGGAUCAUGUUUGCUGGUUUGCUGCUUGUGCUGCUCUUUGACACUGGACUCUCAAAACUAGCCAAUCUUCAACCCAAACAGCAGCAGAAUGAAACCCCUUAUGAAAAGUUCAGACGGCAACAUGUAGAUGCUAAGAUGAGUGUGGAAAAAUGUGAUACAGAAAUAAAAAACAGGCAGAUCUAUGAUGUUAACAGCCAUUGUAAGUUUACUAACACAUUCAUCCUUAGUGAUGAUAAACAGGUCAAAGCCAUUUGUAAUGGUCAAGGAAGAUAUGAUCGUAAGAGUCGCAUGACAAAGAGUGUAGCAAAGUUUAGUAUUGUUAUAUGUAAACUAAAGAAGAAAAGAACCGGGGAACCCAAAUGUAAGUAUGAAGGCAAACGUCUCACUAACAGGAUUACAAGGAGUGCAGAAUUAUUAGGCAAGUUGUAUUUUUGAGGAAUAAUUUUAUUAUUGAACAACAACCAUGUUCUCAAUGAACCCAAUAAACU